AUUAAUAAACUAAGAUAAUAAUAUACUUUCACGAAUGGGUAUGAGCUAAUCAUAUAUACAUAUAUUACUUACGUGGUAUAGUAAGUAUAUAAUACAUGUUUAGGGGUGAUAGGCCUUUCAAAUUUUCUGAUAACUUGUUUCAUAUGAAAAGUACUAAGUACAGUGUCAUAUUUAAAAAGCUAAGCUUUUAAAUACGAAUUAAAGAUAUUAAGUAUGUUAAGUAUAGUAUAAAAGCUAGCUAACCUUUAAAAUAAUAUUUAUUAUAUAUUUUUAUUGUUACUAAUGUGAUAGUACUAGUUGUAGUACUACUUGAUAAUGUUAAUAUGAGUAGUUUAAAUAAAUGUGCUAAAGGAACUCGGCAAAUAAUUAUUCAACUGUUUAUCAAAAACAUAGCUAUAUGAAUUAAUAUAUAGUUAUUUCUGCUCANUGACAUUAAAUAGCCGCAGUACCCUGACUGUGCAAAGGUAGCAUAAUCAAUUGGCUUUUAAUUGGAGUCUAGUAUGAAGGAAAAUAUGGAUGGUAACUGUCUUAGCAUAUUUAUUGGAAAUUAUUAAGUGAGUGCAAAUACUCAUAGAGAUAAAAAAGACGAGAAGACCCUAGAAACUUGAUUAAAGGUUUUGUUGGGGCGACAAAAUUACACUUAACUAAUUUUUAUUAACAGGAUGCGAAGAAGAAAGAAUAAGUUACUCUAGGGAUAACAGCAUAAUUUUAAUAGUUUGUGACCUCGAUGUUGGACUAGGUAUUAUAAUCUUUAGACAAGAUUAUAAAGCGCUCUGUUCGAGCAAUUUCACCUACAUGAUCUGAGUUCAGACCGG
rnacentral:rRNA from 1 species